rnacentral:rRNA from 1 species
AUUGAACGCUGGCGGCAGGCCUAACACAUGCAAGUCGAACGAGGGGCGGACGGGUGAGGAAUGUCUGGGAAACUGCCCGAUGGAGAGGGAUAACUACUGGAAACGAUAGCUAAUACCGCAUACCAUCGGAUGUGCCCAGAUGGGAUUAGCUAGUAGGUGGGGUAACGGCUCACCUAAGCGACGAUCCCUAGCUGGUCUGAGAGGAUGACCAGCCACACUGGAACUGAGACACGGUCCAGACUCCUACGGGAGGCAGAAGUGGGGAAUAUUGCACAAUGGGCGCAAGGCUGAUGCAGCCAUGCCGCGUGUAUGAAGAAGGCCUUCGGGUUGUAAAGUCCUUUCAGUGAGGAGGCGUUACUGGCAGAAGAAGCACCGGCUAACUCCGUGCCAGCAGCCGCGGUAAUAC